UUAAGGUGAGGUGAGUCACCGGGUAAAUAUGCUUCUUAACAGUUUAGUUGCUAGUCUUGAGAAUAUAUCGAAAGUUUCUCAUUCUUUUAUCAACUGUAACUAGUGAAAAUUUAUCUAGAGAACUAUAUGAGAGAAGCUGCUAAUAGUUAUGAUUAUGAGUUAAAGAGUUCUUAUACAUCAGUGAGCUUUUCUUGAGAGUGGGGAUGUGGAGCAUGAAGACGAACUAGUUCCUGACCACAUGAGUUUGGUUAUGUUGAAUAUUGAUGGAGAAUUUGGGAAAUAGAAUUUAAUCAACCAUUAAGCCAAGGAUGAACCAGUGGAUCGAAGAUUUCGAGGUAGGCAUGGCUUGUCAUCAAAUCAGUUUUCAGUUAUCGGAAGAAAUGGUGCAGUGAAGAUGUCUGUUUUUCGUAGUUUUAAAGCGUUACCGAACUAAGUUAUGUUCAUGUAUCUUUUAUACAAAUGUUUUCUUUAUUUAUUGUAAAACACACACAAAUAUAUUUAUAUCAUUCGAGAGUUUUU